rnacentral:rRNA from 1 species
AAGGCUCAUUAAAUCAGUUAUGGUUCCUUAGAUCGUACCCACAUUUACUUGGAUAACUGUGGUAAUUCUAGAGCUAAUACAUGCAAACAGAGUUCCGACCGGAGACGGGAGGAAUGCUUUUAUUAGAUCAAAACCAAUCGGCGGCGGGUGCGUUCGCGUGCCCGUUCGCCGCUCAACCUGGUGACUCUGAAUAACUUUCGGCUGAUCGCACGGUCCAGCACCGGCGACGCAUCUUUCAAAUGUCUGCCUUAUCAACUGUCGAUGGUAGGUUCUGCGCCUACCAUGGUCGUAACGGGUAACGGGGAAUCAGGGUUCGAUUCCGGAGAGGGAGCCUGAGAAACGGCUACCACAUCCAAGGAAGGCAGCAGGCGCGCAAAUUACCCACUCCCGGCACGGGGAGGUAGUGACGAAAAAUAACGAUACGGGACUCAUCCGAGGCCCCGUAAUCGGAAUGAGUACACUUUAAAUCCUUUAACGAGGAUCAAUUGGAGGGCAAGUCUGGUGCCAGCAGCCGCGGUAAUUCCAGCUCCAAUAGCGUAUAUU